rnacentral:misc_RNA from 1 species
GCAAUAGACGAGGCCCGAGAGCAGGUAGGCAUCGCCGUUGGCCUUGGUGUGCGUGCGGUACGACGCUCCGGUCUUGCUCCGGCGCCGAUCGUGCAUUUUGGCCUGCACGCGCUCGAAUAAUG